CAGCAGCCGCGGUAAUACGAAGGGGGCUAGCGUUGCUCUGAAUCACUGGGCGUAAAGGGUGCGUAGGCGGGUCUUUAAGUCAGAGGUGAAAGCCUGGAGCUCAACUCCAGAACUGCCUUUGAUACUGGAGAUCUCGAGUUCGGGAGAGGUGAGUGGAACUGCGAGUGUAGAGGUGAAAUUCGUAGAUAUUCGCAAGAACACCAGUGGCGAAGGCGGCUCACUGGCCCGAUACUGACGCUGAGGCACGAAAGCGUGGGGAGCAAACAGGAUUAGAGACCCCCGUAGUCCCUGUCUCUUAUAC
rnacentral:rRNA from 1 species